UGCUGCGUGGAUGAUAAUAUCACACUAACUCUGGCUUUGUGUAAAGGGUUUGGUGCAGGCUUUUGAAAAGCAAGACGUGUCUGGGAGGGAGGCACCAGGGAACUUCCCUCCCUCGCUUGAGCACAGUCCAAGAUGAAAGUUUCUGGGUUGUUUCCCUUUGCUUCCUCUCACCCUCGCUCCCCCUCGGAGCCGCAGAGCCAGCAAUUGUGCAAGAAGAGCCGAGCGCGCAGGGCGCGUAUCACGGAGCGCAUGGUACAAGCCGCCGGCUCGGUGAUUAAUUAUCAGUAGCCGCUGGCCUCGCACUAACACCUAGCUUUCCGGGCAGGGCCAGCACACCCAGCCGCCGCCAGCUCUGCCGGACAGAGGAGAGGCUCUGGGGAGGACGCGGAGGCUCUCAGGAGUGUUAAAGAACUGCAAAUACUAAAGGCUAUGUUUUGGCUUUCCCACGUUGACUGAUAGUGAGAGAUGUACCAUGAAAAUUAAGAAGUACACCAACUAGGUCUAAAUGGCACCCACGAUAUUCAAGACAAUAUGGGAAUGGGAAUACCUCCACCUCAUCAAAACUCAUGCACAGAGUAAGAAACUCCCAUGCAGUUUACAAUGUAAAAACAGACUGGAGAACUGAAGAAAAAGAUAACAUUUUGAAAGUGAUUUCUGAUGUUUAUGAUGUUCAACAUUUAAACUGUAUUUUCGCAGAACUUCAAUAAAAUCCAACUUAUUGAUUGCUGUAAAUAAACAUCUCCCCCUUACUUUUGAUACUUACUAAGCACUUCAUAGCGCAUGUUGAGUAAUCUGUAAAAAAAACGUUAGACAUAUGUAUUUUAAACCUAUACUAUAGAUGGUGAUGUUUUGGAUAAUAAUUAAAAGUUGUAAUUACAGAGAAUUUUUUAAAAAUCUUUUUGCAUGUAACUACAUACUGUGCAUGUACCAUCAAUGAGAUCCAAUUAGUUGCAAAGAAUUUGCAUUUCAGUGUGUGUGGGAUAACAAGACUAUAGGGAGGCACAAUGCAAUUCCACCAGCAGAGUAAGACAGUGGGUUCUUUCUUGUUAGCUCUGUAAGCAAGAAUUCCCACAACUGACUGUUUAAAAUGUUACUGAUCUUUUCAUUAUUUGGGUAUUGAGGUGGGUUUAGGUUUUCCCCUCAAAAAAAAAAAAGUCACAUGUUGGUUUCAACUAUCAGCCCCAGUUAAUAGCUGAAGGGACAAAUGAGCAAAGGAUUUUGUUUAGCCUGCAUGUUUGUGGUUUUAUUUUUGUUUUGGGAGGG